UACUUUGAUGGCGACCGGCGCACGGGUGAGUAACGCGUAUGCAACCUACCCUGUACAGGGGGAUAACCCGGAGAAAUUCGGACUAAUAUCCCAUAAAGAUAUCUGGAGGCAUCUUUGGAUAUUUAAAGCUCAGGCGGUACGGGAUGGGCAUGCGUAACAUUAGCUAGUUGGCAGGGUAAAAGCCUACCAAGGCAUUGAUGUUUAGGGGUCCUGAGAGGGUGAUCCCCCACACUGGUACUGAGACACGGACCAGACUCCUACGGGAGGCAGCAGUGAGGAAUAUUGGUCAAUGGGCGCAAGCCUGAACCAGCCAUCCCGCGUGAAGGAAGAAGGCGCUAUGCGUUGUAAACUUCUUUUCCAGGGGAAUAAAAUUUUGUACGAGUACGGAAUUGAAGGUACCCUGGGAAUAAGCAUCGGCUAACUCCGUGCCAGCAGCCGCGGUAAUACGGAGGAUGCGAGCGUUAUCCGGAUUUAUUGGGUUUAAAGGGUGCGUAGGCGGAAAAAUAAGUCAGUGGUGAAAACCUGCAGCUUAACUGUGGAACUGCCAUUGAUACUGUUAUUCUUGAGUAUGGUCAAGGUAGGCGGAAUGUGUAAUGUAGCGGUGAAAUGCUUAGAUAUUACACAGAACACCGAUUGCGGAGGCAGCUUACUGGACCAAAACUGACGCUGAUGCACGAAAGCGUGGGGAUCGAACAGGAUUAGAUACCCUGGUAGUCCACGCCGUAAACGAUGAUCACU
rnacentral:rRNA from 1 species